rnacentral:rRNA from 1 species
CGCGAGACCUUACCAGGUCUUGACAUCCCAAUGACCGUCUUAGAGAUAAGACUUUCCCUUCGGGGACAUUGGUGACAGGUGGUGCAUGGUUGUCGUCAGCUCGUGUCGUGAGAUGUUGGGUUAAGUCCCGCAACGAGCGCAACCCUUAUUCUUAGUUGCCAUCAUUUAGUUGGGCACUCUAAGGAGACUGCCGGUGACAAACCGGAGGAAGGUGGGGAUGACGUCAAAUCAUCAUGCCCCUUAUGACCUGGGCUACACACGUGCUACAAUGGACGGUACAAAGAGCUGCAAGCCCGCGAGGGUUAGCCAAUCUCAUAAGACCGUUCUCAGUUCGGAUUGUAGUCUGCAACUCGACUACGUGAAGCCGGAAUCGCUAGUAAUCGCGGAUCAGCAUGCCGCGGUGAAUACGUUCCCGGGCCUUGUACACACCG